UACGAAGGGGGCUAGCGUUGCUCGGAAUCACUGGGCGUAAAGGGUGCGUAGGCGGCCCGGUAAGUCCGCUGUGAAAGUCGGGGGCUCAACCCUCGGAUGCCGGUGGAUACUGUCGGGCUAGAGUACGGAAGAGGCGAGUGGAAUUCCUGGUGUAGCGGUGAAAUGCGCAGAUAUCAGGAGGAACACCGAUGGCGAAGGCAGGUCUCUGGGCCACUACUGACGCUGAGAAGCGAAAGCAUGGGGAGCGAACAGG
rnacentral:rRNA from 1 species